UGGGGAAUAUUGGACAAUGGGCGAAAGCCUGAUCCAGCAAUGCCGCGUGAGUGAUGAAGGCCUUAGGGUUGUAAAGCUCUUUUACCCGGGAUGAUGAUGACAGUACCGGGAGAAUAAGCCCCGGCUAACUCCGUGCCAGCAGCCGCGGUAAUACGGAGGGGGCUAGCGUUGUUCGGAAUUACCGGGCGUAAAGCGCACGUAGGCGGCUUUGCAAGUUAGAGGUGAAAGCCCGGGGCUUAACCCCGGAAUUGUCUUUAAAACUGCAUCGCUAGAAUUGUGGAGAGGUGAGUGGAAUUCCGAGUGUAGAGGUGAAAUUCGUAGAUAUUCGGAAGAACACCAGUGGCGAAGGCGACUCACUGGACACAUAUUGACGCUGAGGUGCGAAAGCGUGGGGAGCAAAC
rnacentral:rRNA from 1 species